rnacentral:tRNA from 1 species
UGCCCGCGUAGCUCAGUGGACAGAGCACCGGUUUCCGGAACCGGGGGUCAGGGGUUCGAAUCCCUUCGCGGGCAG